UAUGGCCAUAUCACCCUGAAAGCACCAGAUCUCGUCUGAUCUCGGAAGCUAAGCAGGGUUGGGCCUGGUUAGUACUUGGAUGGGGGAAAAUUAAGUCUGAACUUCAGCUUGGUAUUUAAA
rnacentral:rRNA from 1 species